AGUGAACGCUGGCGGUAGGCCUAGCACAUGCAAGUCGAACGGCAGCACAGUAAGAGUUUGCCCCUACGGGUGGCGAGUGGCGGACGGGUGAGGAAUACAUCGGAAUCUACUUUUUCGUGGGGGACAACGUAGGGAAACUUACGCUAAUACCGCAUAUGACCUACGGGAGAAAGCAGGGGAUCUUCGGACCUUUCGUGUUUCAAAGAGCCGAUGUCGGAUUAGCUAGUUGGCGGGGUAAAGGCCCACCAAGGCGACGAUCCGUAGCUGGUCUGAGAGGAUGAUCAGCCACACUGGAACUGAGACACGGUCCAGACUCCUACGGGAGGCAGCAGUGGGGAAUAUUGGGCAAUGGGCGCAAGCCUGAUCCAGCCAUACCGCGUGAGUGAAGAAGGCCUUCGGAUUGUAAAGCCCUUUUGUUAGGAAAGAAAAGCAGCAGAUUAAUACCCCGCUGUUCUGACGGUACCCAAAGAAUAAGCACCGGCUAACUUCGUG
rnacentral:rRNA from 1 species